rfam:Ananas comosus cultivar MD2 ACMD2_Scaffold_6700, whole genome shotgun sequence.
GCUAGCCCGUCAUCCAGACCCUGGCUCAGCCGUAUCCCAUCAGAACUCCGCAGUUAAGCGUGCUUGGGCGAGAGUAGUACUAGGAUGGGUGACCCCCUGGGAAGUCCUCGUGUUGCAUCCC